rnacentral:lncRNA from 1 species
AGCCGACCCACAGAUAAAAGGUCAAGAAAAACCAGGAAGAGAGAGAGAGGGCGGGAAGGAUCUAUGGACCAUAGAGAAAGAGACAAUCUACAUUGGCUGGAUUUACCGUGUACGAGCUGGACUGUUUUGGACUUACCUGUUGGCGUUUAGACCUGGACCUACCGAGAACCAGAUUUGUGUACCGAACCCUGCUAUCCUUGACCUUACCUGCGGCCUGGGUGGACCAGGACAGCGAAACAAACACACAGAUCCACAGACGAUGCAAUCGCCUUAGCACUGCACACUGCCCUAUCCCAUCUGGACAAGAGAAAUACCUACUUAAGAAUGCUAUCCAUUGACUAUAGCUCAGCCUUCAACACCAUAGUACCCUCCAAACUCAUCAUUAUGCUUGGUGCCCUGGGUCCGCCCUGUGCAACUGGGUCCUGGACUUCCUGACGGGCUGCACCCAGGUGGUGAAGAUAGGAAACAACACCUCUACUUUGCUGAUCCUCAACACAUGGGCCCCACAAGGGUGUGUGCUCAGCCCCCUCCUGUACUCCCUAUUCACCCAUGACUGCAUGGCCACGCACGCCUCCAACUCAAUCAUCAAGUUUGCAGAUGACACAAUAGUAAUAGGCCUGAUUAUGAACUGCCUACAGGGAGGAGGUAAGGGCCCUGGCGGAGUGGUGCCAGGGAAAUAACCUCUCCCUCAAUGUCAACAAAAUGAAGGUGCUGAUCGUGGACUUCAGGGAACAGCAGAGGGAGCACGCCCCUAUCCACAUCGACGGGACCGCGGUGGAGAAUGUGGAAAGCUUCAAGUUCCUCGUGUACGCGGCGCUGAAAAUCUGAAAUGGUCCACCCACACAGACAGUGUGGUGAAGAAGGCGCAACAGCACCUCUUCAAUCUCAAGAGGCUGAAGAAAUUUGGCUUGGCCACUAAGACCCUUACAAACUUUUACAGAUGCACAAUUGAGAGCAUCCUGUCGGCUGUAUCACCACCUGGGACAGCAACUGCGCCGCCUGCAACCGCAGGACUCUCCAGAGGGUGGUGCGGUCUACCCAACGCAUCACCGGGGAGGCACACUUCCUGUCCUACAGGACACCUACAGCACCCAAUGGCACAUGAAGGCCAAAAAGAUCAUCAAAGACAUCAACUACCCAAGCCACGGCCUGUGCACCCCGGCUAUCAUCCAGAAGGUGAGGUCAAUACAGGUGCAUCAAAGCUGGGACCAAGAGACUGAAAAACAGCUUCUAUCUCAAGGCCAUCAGACUGUUAAAUAGCCAUCACUAAAGAAAGAGAAAGUUUUUGUAAUGUUACCCGUAAUGUUCCUCAGAUGUUUGUGUGUCCAGUAUUCCGUUAGCUAGGGGAACAUUAUACAUGUAUGUUAGCAAAAACCUUCUGAAAACCUACAGUGCAUUCAGAAAGUGUUUACACCCCUUGACCUAUACAACAUUUUGUUGUAUUACAGCCUGAAUUUAAAAUUGUUUAAAUUGAGAUUUUAUAGGUCACUGGCCUAUGCACAUACCC